CUUGUACACACCGCCCGUCAAGCCACCUGAGUCGGGAGCACCCAAAAUCGCUUUAUCCAACCGUAAGGGGGAGAGCGCUUAAGGUGAGACUGAUAAGGAGGGCU
rnacentral:rRNA from 1 species